rnacentral:lncRNA from 1 species
UUUUAAAUUCACUGCUUGACUGAGGGACCUUACAGAUAAUUGUAUGUGUGGGGUACAUGUUAAACACUAUUAUAGCACACAGAGUCCAAGCAAUUUCUUUGACUUGUUUAGCAAAUUUUUACACCUGAACUUAUUUAGGCUUGCCAUAACAAAGGGGGUGAAUACUUAUUGACUCAAGACAUUUCAGCUUUUCAUUUUUUAUUCAUUUGUAAACAUUUCUAAAAACAUAAUUCAUCUUUGACAUUAUGGGGUAUUGUGUUUAGGCCAGUGACACAAAAUCUCAAUUUAAUCCAUUUUGAUUUCACAUCAAAAUGUGGAAAAAGUCAAGGGGUGUGAAUAUUUUCUGAAGUCAGAGGAAGGGUAAAUCAUUCAAAAAUCAUGUCAAACCCUAUUAUUUCACACAGAAUGAGUCCAUAUAACUUAUGUGAUUUGUUAAACCAAAUUGUACUCCUGAAAUCAUUUAGGAUUUCCUAAACAAAGAUUCUGAAUACUUACGCAACAACUACAUUUUAGUUAUGAAUUUUGUAUUCAUCUUUAAAAGAAUAUAGAAUUUUUCUUCCACUUUAACAGAGCAUUUUGUGUAGAUUUUUACAAUAAAGACAACUAAAUCCAUUUUAAAUCACACUUUAUAACACAGAAAUCCAAGGGGUCUGAAUACUUUGCUAGGCACUGCAUAACUGAUGUACUCAAACGAUCCUAAAUGGUCUAACCCUUCCUUUUGAAAUUGUACUUAUAUUUUUACAGUAUAUGACAUAAAAGGAUGACAAAAUAUAAACAUUUUGCAAUAUCAGGUCUUCUUUUCUGGUUUUACCAGUAUUUGCAUGGACAUGGCUUUACCUGCACACCUAUAGAAUACAUCACACCCAAACCUAAUUUGAUAAACCCUUUAUCAAAAGUAGGAGUGCCUUUUGGUCAGGAUGUACAACGAACUUUAGGCGACAUCACAGGUAUAUGCAAGAGACAAACAACUACACAAACACACCCUGUAUAUUGAAGAUAGCCCCACUGUUCACAUUUCAUAUGAAGAAAUAUCAGGACAAGGGACCAAAGACAACAAAAUGCGUCUCCUGGUAUAAAGAAUAACUGUUUGAAGGACAUCUAUGCAGCUGAAGGAUAAUGUUACCUUGGUUUUCCGCUAUUCUACUCUCUGGGUUACAGCUAGAAUGCAGAACCAGUUUAGCUUCAGUCAAACGAAGGUAGAAGGUGAAAUCUCAAGGCUGCAUAAUGGUAAAGUAAAUAUAUGGAUGAAGAAUACAUUUAAUUUAAAAUCGCUGAUGAAACUGCAACUUUAAAUGUUUUAAUCUUCAGAAAUGUCCAUUGUAUGUUUAUACAAUUCUUAUUUUAGUAUUCUAUUCAAUGACAAAAUCUGCAGUUCAGGAAAAAAAACAAAGGACAAAUUGUUCCAUCUUUGAGUAACCAUCAGGUUUUUAAUUCACACCUUGGAAAAUAUUACAAAAUAAGAUGAACUGCCUUUUGCCAAGUGCUAUAAGGCUGAAAGGGAUAGUAUUGGACUGAAAAUUCAGGUUCCACCCAAACACACACAUAGGUAGUAUAGCCAUUUUAAGUCUUUCCAACUUAUAUGGACUUUAAUGUACUUGGUCACUGCAUAGAUAUAAAGAGAAGAGGGAGGGAGGGAUGCAUGCUUGCUCACACAACAGGACCAUACUCACACACGCCCACACACACAAACAAUUAUCCUUCAAAAAGCCCAAGUCCAGAGUCAUUAGGGAGUUCAAUGAAAAAUGUGCAAUUUUCUUUCAUCUAAUGUAAGGAGUUUAGGGACACUAAGAGUACCAGGUCCUGUAUGCUGCCUUGUACCGUCAUAGUAAAGAGCUAUAGUGCACGUGGCAAGAUACCAUUCACAAUGUUACCAGCCCGGACCUAGAGAGAAAGUUACCACCUUAACAUGCUUUAUGGAACCAAAUGAUUGUUCAUCAAAAAGGCACGUUGAACAAAAACCAAAGUACAUCUCAGAAGUGGCACCAUAUUUCACAUUCUCACCUCCGUUACAAAACAACUCUUCCUUCCCUCUCACUUCACUACAGUGGUAUCACAGCAUUACAACACAGUUGAGGAAACACCCCUGAAAGACGUAUAGUUCCCAAUGUUCAAUGGACAGCACUGCUAAGCUAGCCUAAUACAACCUUGUCCUUUGUUUAGCUCUCCUACAAUACAACUACACUGGGACAUUUGUCUAUCUGUGAUGGAAAAGUAUCCACAAAAGACAUUAGCAGGACAUAUCAACGACUGGGAAAGGAUUUAACCAGUUUUGUAACCGACACAGUCAUAGGGACAGAAGUGAAGUGAUAUACAUGUGCACGCGCACACACACCCACCCAGUUCAAUAUAGUGGAAGUCUGUGCAAAAACCAUUACAGUACAGGUAAUGAUCUACCAAGAUGAAGUGUCUCCCCCUGCUGUCCAAUACCAGUAUUGCAGUCCCAAUGCCAGAAUGGGGGAGAGACAUGAAAUAAGACAUGGUGGUUUGUUAAUGGAAUGAUAUUAACACAUACAGUAUGUGGUUUCUGCCUCUACUGAAUCAUCACAUCUUUAGUAAUGUGUUGUAUGUGUCAGGGAUAUGUUGCAUAGGGGCAGGCAGUGAGUACAACUCCCAAAAUGGAGGUAAGGAUAUCUGGGGUGCUUCUGUUGUAUUCAACCAACACGGAUACAGAAAAACAACCGAGGACCAGUGUGUGGUGUUGUAUUAUCAGCGCAGUACAUUGCUUUGGAUAAAAGCAUCAGUUAGACUUUUUAACAUGUACAAAAACAUCCUUCAAGGAUAAUAAGUACAUUAGAUGAGACGCACAGUACAAACUUUCUGCAGUCAGACAGGCAGACAGAAAGCCACACAGCAUUCAGAAUGAAAGCGCAAACUAGUGUAGUACCACAAAUCCUAAAACGACAAAGUACUGUCUGUAAAAACAGAUUCCCUAAAACAGAAGGCAAUGUUUUGUUUCAGUUUUUCAUUUGCUGAAUGAUGUGCUUUUUAGCUCACCAUGAGAGACAGUCGUCAUUGGUUACAUGGACACAUUUAGACAUGGCUACAUACAUUCACACACACUCACAUUCUGUCCAGGGAUAAAAAUUAAAACAAUCAAAUUCUACUUGGGUCGUUCCACGAAAUAAGCGCCUUUUGCGUCCUUUUGAUAUUUUAAGUACAAAAUUGUGCACCAAUACGGAAUUUUAAAAGCGUUAUAUUUAAUGAAGUGCCCUUUAAUAUAGAUCACAUGGAGAAUUCGAUAAAUAUAUUUUUUUAAUAUGAAUAAAGACUUGCUAAAGUGCCAAAAUUCUGCAUUUGAUAUGUCUCUGUGACUUCAAGAAGAUUAACAUUUCUCCAUCAUUGUAAAGCCCUAGUAAUUUUGUUGUUUUGACAGUCAUUUCUGAUUAUUAUUCAUUUAAAAUGUGAUUAGUCAUUCAUAUAAGCGCAACCCGGUUAUGUGAACUGAACUCGUUUUAAUAUGGUGAAACUUUUGAAAUAAUAUUCCUUUUUAAAUAAUAAUAAAAAACAUUGGACAUCUACUAGCCAAAUAAUUGAGUAAGAGCAGUUGAGCUGGUUCUUCUGAAAACAUUUCUGGUGUUUUGUGGUGGAAAACUGAGCAGGCCGAGCAUAACCCUGUUAACCACAGAAACUCAGGCUAGAUAAUUGGAUUAUUUUGUGAAGCGUGCAUUCAAUUGCCCCUCCCUGUUGCACACAACAAGCGUACAUUUCCUCUGCCACUAGGGGAUUUAUGGCUGAUUUAAGAUGAACUUGUCAACCUUGUUACUUUAUUUGGCACUUAGUCUUUUUUUUUUUUUUAACCUUGAGAUGGGAAAGUUGAACAUGUGCUCUUUAUGACUGUCUAAAGUAGGUGAAAUCAACAAACAUACCCAUCUCAAAAGGCACCGAAUUGGUGGAACGACACUUAUUAUUUCAAACAAAUUAUAUAUUACAUGCAUUCCUCGAAACUAAAACUAAAAUAAAUACAACAUGUCAAAUCAAGCUUCUGAAAACCACUAAACCAACUCAGCAGCUUUUGAGGUUAUUUCCCUGUGCAGUCCUAUUUCAGUACUACAACACUGUAAAAAACAAAGGCAAACCUAACCCACAGCCAGUCUAACAGCCACUGUGCAGAAGACCUAAUACUCUGUUAAAAAGUACAGCAGCCAGGGUUUUUUUCUGCAUAGAAAAGUCUUGGGCGGGCUGCCUAAGUGCUUUUCCAGGCCACUUAUGUAAAAACGAAAAAGGACUAUAUAUUAUGAUAUAUACAGUACCAGUCAAAAGUUUGGACACACCUACUCAUUCAAGGUUUUUAUUUUUAUUAUUUUCUACAUUGUAGAAUAAUAGUGAAGACAUCAAAACUAUGAAAUAACACAUAUGGAAUCAAGUAGUAACCAAAAAUGUGUUAAUCAAAUCAAAAUAAUUUUAGAUUCUUCAAAGUAGUCACCCUUUGCCUUGAUGACAGCUUUGCACACUCUUGGCAUUCUAUCAACCAGCUUCAUGAGGUAGUCACCUGGAAUGUAUUUCAAUGAACAGGUGUGCCUUGUUAAAAAGUUAAUUUGUGGAAUUUCUUUCCUUCUUAAUGCAUUUGAGCCAAUCAGUUGUGUUGUGACUAGGUAGGGGUGGUAUACAGAAGAUAGCCCUAUUUGGUAAAAGACCAAGUCCAUGUUAUGGCAAGAACAGCUCAAAUAAGCAAAGAGAAAUGACAGUCCAUCAUUAGUUUAAGACAUGAAGGUCAGUCAAUCCGGAAAAUGUCAAGAACUUUCAAAGUUUCUUCAAGUGCAGUCGCAAAAACCAUCAAGCGCUAUGAUGAAACUGGCUCUCAUGAGGACCACCACAGGAAAGGAAGACCCCGAGUUACCUCUGCUGUAGAGGAUAAGUUCAUUAGAGUUAACUGCACCUCAGACUGCAGCCCAAAUAAAUGCUUCAGAGUUCAAGUAACAGACAACAUCAACUGUUCAGAGGAGACUGCGUGAAUCCGGCCUUCAUGGUCGAAUUGCUGCAAAUAAACCACUACUAAAGGACACCAAUAAGAAGAAGAGACUUGUUUGGGCCAAGAAACAAGCAAUGGACACACUGUAUAUAGUUUUUUCUAUUGUGUUAUUGACUGUACGUUUGUUUAUUCCAUGUGUAACUCUGUGUUGUCGUUUGCUUUGCUUUAUCUUGGCCAGGUCGCCGUUGUAAAUGAGAACUUGUUCUCAACUGGCCUACCUGGAUAAAUAAAGGUAGGAAAAAAAUAAAAAAUAAAAUAGACAUUAGACCAGUGGAAAUCUGUCCUUCGGUCUGAUGAGUCCAAAUUUGAGAUUGUCUUUGUGAGACACAGAACAGGUGAACGGAUGAUUUCCGCAUGUGUGGCUCGCACAGUGAUGGUGUGUUGCUGGUGACACUAAGUGCUUUAUUUAGAAUUCAAGGCACACUUAACCAGCAUGGCUACCACAGCAUUCUGCAGCGAUACGCCAUCUCAUCAGGUUUGCGCUUAGUGGGACUAUUCUUUGUUUUUCAACAGGACAAUGACCCAACACACCUCCAGGCUGUUUAAGGGCAAUUUGACCAAGAAGGAGAGUGAUGCAUCAGAUGACCUGGCCUCCACAAUCACCCGACCUCAACCCAACUGAGAUUGUUUAGGAUGAGUUGGACCGCAGAGUGAAGGAAAAGCAGCCAACAAGUGCUCAGCAUAUGUUGGAACUCCUUCAAGACUGUUGGAAAAGCAUUCCAUGUGAAGCAGGUUGAGAGAAUACCAAAGCUGUCACCAAGGCAAGGGGUGGCUACUUUGAAAUAACACAUGGAAUAAUGUAGGAACCAAUUUUUUUUUACAGAUUUUAGGUUCUUCAAAGUUUCGAUGUCUUCACUAUUAUUACACAAUGUAGAACAUAAGAAAAACCCUUGAAUGAGUAGCUGUCAAAACUUUUGACUGGUACUGUAUGUAUAUGUAUAUAUUCUAUAUAAUAAAUAAUUUUCGGGAUGGAAAACAUUUUCAAUGUGUAAACUUAAAUUACUAAAAAGAGAUGUAAAGUAUGUAGAAAAGAUAAUGAACCUAUAUAUUUUUUAAAUAAGAUCAUCUUUGAGAACUAACCAUCACCUAAAUAAAAGCUAAAUAAUCAGGGAGAAUCUAAAAUUCCAAAAAUGAUGCAUUCAGGAGUUUUUGUCAUAGCAUGGGGCCACCAGAUUUUUUGGAAUUGCAGAAAAUGUGCUUUAAAACUGUCAAAUUGUAUCUCCGUCACAUGGCAAAAUGUGUAGAAUUGCAAAAAUGUGCUUGAAAACCGCUACAUUUUGUCACUGCGGCCAACAGAAGGGCCUCUAAAAUUGUCGCUCGGCCACCGCACCAUUGGCCACGCCCACCAUGUAAGCCCCAUUUUGAUCCAGAAAAGACCCUGGCAGCUAUUCGCCAUUCUUUCUCAACGCUCACAACAACAGUCUGCUCUGGAAUGUUUUCAAAUCUAAGCCACUUUUCGGUUCAUCUCUUUGAUCUCUUCAUCGCCUUCCAUCAUUGUUCCCUUCUUUCUCAUUGGUCCAGUGGUUGCAGGUGUGAAGUGGUGAUAGGCCCCAGGGAAUGUUCAAACAGGAAACUGGACAGUAUGUCUAGCUACCCCAGAAUGCCUUGCCCUUGGUCCCAUUUCUAGACAUGACCUGUUGUCUCACGUUUCCAGGAAGGCUUUCUAUCGUCCUGUUCCCUUUCUCUGUGGACCAUGAGAGUUUUACAUGGUCUCUUCCUAGCUCCUCUCUCUUUCACUUUCACUCUGAUAGGGUACAGUGUGUAAAAGUCUACUUUUUGCUCCUCCUCAGCAGUAGCUGCGCGUCUGACCCUCAGUAUGGAUGGUCCAGUUGGGUGAUGGUGCAGGUAAGCUGCCCUGCCGUGCCAGCCCUCUCUGGUUCCUCAGACCCUGCGGCCGCAGCACCGGCUCGUGGACCACAUCUCUGCGGGGGGGGAGUGUUGGGGUAUUGGCCCAGCAUCGGGCCAGGCUGGAAGGGGUACUGGCUGUACUGGAGGCCUCCUGGCUGGCCGGGGUAGGGCCUGGGGGCUCCCAGCGUCAGGUUGGAGAAGGUUGCAGACGGGGUGUCUGAGGGCUCCAAGAGGGGCUGGCUGGGGUAGCCGGAGGAGCAGGGGUCCUGGGGGCUCUGGAUGGGGUAGGGGGGCUCCUGGUAGUGCUGCCGAGGGGGGGUAGGGGUUAGCGCCAGAGCUCUGGUGCUCUCCCUGGGUAAAGUUUUGGGUCCGGUAGUAUUUGAGCACCUGAUCGCCUGAGGGCAUGACGUCAAAGGCCUGCCUGUACUGGCCCCCGGGCGAGGACCUCCGGAGCGGGUCUUGGCGUUGGAAGCCCCCUGCCCCGGCCCUCUGAGGAGCCCUGAUCCGUGAGGGGCCCGGGGUGUAGACAUUAUAGGCAGGCGGGGACUGGUUGUGCUGCUGGCUGGGGUAGGGGUUGGCAGGGUGCUCCAUGGCAGGGGAGGAGCUGGUGGAGGCAGAGGAGGAGGUGACUGUGGAGGGACCCUCAGCCCUUUCCUCCUCAGCCAGCUUCUCUAUCAGCAGGGAGGCGAUCUCCUUCCCCGACAGGCCCUGGAUGGGCUCCGUACUGCACCUGGAGCUCUGGGGGUCUGAGCGGCUGCGGUAGUGGAUCCCUGUCGAUGUAGACGCUGGGAGGAAGUCGCUCUCCUGGAUGCUCCCUGGGCUCGUUGCGGCCGAGUCGUUGUGGGCGGAUGGGCUGUCUGGAGUGGAGGGGGUGAGGCUGACGCUGGUGGAGCCUGCCUGGUCAGGGACCAGGCGGGGGGAGGACUGUCUCUGGUCCUCUGGGGGAGGGGGGUCGUUUGGAGUGGCAAGAGGUUCAGAAUCCUGUGGAGAGUCUCCAUCCAGGUCUGUGCUGGUCCAGCUCUUCGUGUUUUGGGCCCCAGUAGAGGGGCUGGGGAAAGGGAAGUUGACGUAGAUGGGCUCAGACAGGUCCUUGGAGGUCGGUCUGUGGGCCUGGGGAGGGGAAGGCUGGGAUGGCUGGAGAGACUUGCCCUGGGGAGGCUGGCUCAGACUCAGAGGAGCAUCCUCUGGCUUACGAUAGCACACCUUCCCGUUUUCAAAAUAGGGGUGUAGCUGGGAGGCGGUGAGGUCUGUGGAGGCUGACCUAUUGGAGCGGUGGAGGUUGCGUUGGUGCUGGUGGAGCGCCAGGGGAACCAUGGAGGAGGAGGGGAGGGGGUGCAUCUCACUACGGGCCAGCCGGACUGAGGAGGAGGUCUGGCGCUGGGGCCGGGGGUGGUGGUGAGAGGGGUGAUGGUGGUGGGUGGAGCCGUCCUGGGAGUGGUGGUGAGAGUGGGAGUGUCCGUGGGAGAAUGAAUGGGACUGGGAGUGGGCGGCUGCCCAAGCCCGCGUGACCUCUUUGGACCAGAGCUGGGGCCCACUCUCCCUGGGUCCACCCUGGUUGUGGUGGAGAGGCUGGGGUUGGUGUUGGUGAUGUCCCCGAGAGAUGGGCCUUUUGUUGGCCUCUAGGUGGGGGGCCGGGCGGAAGUUACCCUCCAGGUCCAGCCUCAUGUUCUGGUAGCUGUGGCGGGCGUAGCUGGGGGGGCCCUGCGAGUUCUCAGGCCCGGCGAUCUCAUAGUAGAAGUUUUCCAUCCUUCCCUGGUCCUCUGAGGUGGAGGAGAGGGGCACGGGCCGGAUCUGGGCCUGCUGAGGAGGCUGCUGACCCGGGGAUGGUUGGCUGGCUGCGUGGUAGCGGGCGAGGUGGUCUGGAGCUCCACUCAGACGCUCUGAGAAGGCCCUGGCCAGAGGAGGGUUCCCCUGCUGACCAAAGAUCCGCCUGAUGCGCCCUGAGUCCAGGGAGCGACGCAUCUCAGUCUGGGCCAGUGGUGCUCUGUGGGGACGCUCCAGAUCCAGGGGCUUAGGAGGUACUUUGGGGCGGGUGGGCUGGAAGGCACGGACCUGAGUCAGAGGGGACUCUGACUUGGAGUGCAGGAGCUGGGCCGAGGACGGCUUGGACUGGGUGGAGGUGGAUUUCUGUUGGAGGUGAGGGGCAGAGAACUGGCGUGAGUAGGCUGGGGGCUUCCUCUGAGGCUGGGACUCAGUGGGGCUAGGUCUCUCCCCAGACUGGCCUGGGUUGGGAGGCUGUGACUGGGGCAGCUGCUUCUGGUUCUUGUAGAUGGGGCUGGGGGUCUGGUCGUCUCCAGAGGCGCUCCCACCAGACAGCUCCGAGUUGGACGCCACAGAGUCAGACGUCUCAGAGGACAGGGUCCCCAUAUCCUGCAAUA